rnacentral:rRNA from 1 species
GGGCCCGCACAAGCGGUGGAGCAUGUGGUUUAAUUCGAUGCAACGCGAAGAACCUUACCAGGGCUUGACAUACUGCGAAUCUCCUUGAAAGAGGAGAGUGCCUUCGGGAAUGCAGAUACAGGUGGUGCAUGGCUGUCGUCAGCUCGUGUCGUGAGAUGUUGGGUUAAGUCCCGCAACGAGCGCAACCCUUGUUUUUAUGUUACCAAUUCGUUGGGGCUUUCUAGAAAGACUGCCGGUGACAAACCGGAGGAAGGUGAGGAUGACGUCAAGUCAGCAUGCCCCUUAUGUCCUGGGCUACACACGUGCUACAAUGGCUAGGACAAAGAGUCGCAAGUUUGCGAAAACAAGCU